rnacentral:rRNA from 1 species
AGUACAGCGGCGCGACGGGUGAGUAACACGUGGUAAUCCUACCCUGAGUGGUGAUACCCUCCGAAAGGAGGGCUAAUACAGCAUAAGACCACGGCGUCCUCGGAUGUCGCGGCCAAAGCGGGCCUCUUCAUGAAAGCUCGUGCUCGGGGAUGAGCCCGCGGCCCAUCAGCUUGUUGGCGAGGUAAAAGCUCACCAAGGCAAAGACGGGUAGCUGGUCUGAGAGGAUGAACAGCCACACUGGAACUGAGACACGGUCCAGACUCCUACGGGAGGCAGCAGUGGGGAAUCUUGCGCAAUGGGCGAAAGCCUGACGCAGCGACGCCGCGUGAGCGAUGAAGGCCCUCGGGUCGUAAAGCUCUGUGGGGAGGAAAGAAUAAGGGUAGGUUAAUAUCCUGCCUGAUGACGGUACCUCCUUAGCAAGCACCGGCUAACUCUGUG